GGAUUUUUUGGGAGUUUUUUUUGGUUUUGGGGGGGUUUUUUUGGGGUUUUUUUUGUGUUUUUGUUUUUUUGUGGGUUUUUUUGUUUUUUGUUGUUGUUGUUGGAGGUUUUUUUGUGGUUUUUUUUUUUAAUUAUUUUCCUGUGGCUUUUCAAAGUUCCUUCCCUGGAAGCAGCUCGGGGAGGCCGCUGCGGUGCCGGGGCGGCCGCAGGUGCGGGAGCAGCUCUCGCUGUCUCUGUUUCCAGAGCCCGUGCUGGACUGCUGCUAACGCGUUGCUGGCUGCUCAUGAAUCCCAGAAACUGCUUUGCAUAACAGUUUUAUUUUCAUGCAGUAAUCUUCCCUGUUAGCUGCGUUUUCAGACUCUUUGGCAAUCAGUUCUUAAUACCUGCGCUGUUUUGCAAACUGGCUUUUUCAAGGCGUUACCGGCUUUGCUGCCGUGGAUGGGUGCCCUGUGCUCUGCAUAGGCUGUUGUGCUUUAGGGCAAAGUGGACAAGAAACUGGGGAAAAGCAGUUUACUCCUGGAUCUUAGGAAAGUUUACCACCAAAACAGGAUUCCAGUGUUUUUAAAAAACUUUUCCUUCCCCUUUAAUUGAAAUAAGAUCCAGAUCACUUUAGUAUUGGAUCUUGCUGUAAAAUCUAUUUACAUUUAUAUUUAAAUUUACGUCUAAUGCCUCGUAACUCUUUGAAGAAUAACCACCAGCCAAGCCUCUGAUGCAGUGCCACUGCAAGAAAAUACUUGUGCCCAAGAAGGUUUUCAAUAUUCAUCAGUAAUGCAUUUAUAAAGAGAGAGCUCCUUGCAACAAUGUAAAUACAGGAGGAAAUAAAUCUAAAUAAAUCCUUUGCAUUUGCCACCCAGUCUACUUUUUAAUUCAGCUUCAUAAUUAGCUGGGAGUGCAGUUGUGCUGUCACAGAGACGAGUGUGGGUGGUCCCAGCCCCAACGCAGGAGAUGCCAUUUCAGGAUAAAACCCUCCUGUGGAACUUGCCACAGGCCAUCUCUGUGCCAGCCUGACACCUUUCCUAGUGCUGUGACUUGUGUUUUCCAUGGCCACUGUGCAAGGAACAGGGAUCAAAGAACAUUAAACUCAUGUUUAGGACCCAACUAACUUUGUGUCAUUCAGUCCAGGUUGCUGAAAUGGAGUAAGUCCUUUUAUUUUGAGGCUGGUUGUCUUUGGUUUCUAGUGAGCUUUAUCUUACUGGCCAUUUUUUUCUGUUAGAAAAUGUAAAGGUUUUCUUCAAAAUAAAUGGCAAUUAGAGCAGUGGAAGAUAGAAUUAUCAAUGUAUGCAUAUUUUUAGAUAUAAACACAUAUCCUUUGAAGUUCAGUUUGGAGAAGACAGAAAUUUAGUUGGGUUUAUUUUUCACAUAAGCUUUUUUUGAGUCCAUUUUUUUCUGGCAGUAUUUUUUUAUAAUGUGGGAAGAAAAAAAAUGUGUAGCAGUGACUGAGUUACUGGAGGAUCUGUUCAGUGACAGACCCCAUUGUUAUCACUCUCUGUCUCUGCUGAUUUCAAGUUCCAGAUUGGGUGUACCAAGAGGCACAGGCUGCUGUGAAAAGGUGGCAACUCUGCCCUGCAGGAACAGCCCAGAAAGGAGCAGGGGAAUCCCAAUGGAUAAAACACAACACGGAGACAUGCCCUUGCACCCACUGCUUUUAAUGAUCUUGGUACUUUAACCCUUUUAGCCUCAACAUGAAGGAGGUUUGAGUCUAUUUUGUGGACUGGUUAAGUGUAUUGCACAAGCCCUCAGUGGAGGUGCCAGAGGCUGCACAGGGAGCCAGCAGCUCUGGGAUGGGGGUGGCUGCCAAGCACAGCCUGCAAGCUUGGAACAGCUCUCCUGUUUCCAUGUGCUGUCCCCUCCAAGCUCUUCCAAGGUCCUUGUUACCAGAUAGAAAGAUGAAGACUUUCAAAAUUUGGUCCAAAACAAAUGCUCCAAGAGCUCAUGAACCUUGGAAAUUCUGCUCAAGGAAAUUCAGAAAAUCAAUUUCCAUUCUAUGCUGAAGUUCACUCCCAUUUCUGGGAACUGGUAUUUCAUGAAUACAGAAAUCUCCAUUUUCAGUCAGCUCCACUCAUGAUGUCUAACCAGAAUGCAGGAAAAGCCAUUACAAUUAACAUGUAAGAGUAAUAAGGACAUAAUAGAAUACAUUCAGCAAGGAAUUGCCUCGCUGACCCUGCAGCCCAACAUCCCAGCAGGCUUCUCAAACAGUUCGUUCACCCCUGAGCAACAAAACAACAGGAGGCCUUUCUCAAUGGAAGUGCCAGACAGAUUGCAGCAACAGGAGCAAUGUUUUUAUUGUCUUAGCACACUGGACCUUUACAAAUUGUUGAACUCCCUCAGAAGCAGCAAUCAUGGGAAAGUAACAGAAGUUAAGUGGUUUAGCCUCUGCCACAAACAAGGCAGUGGUAGACCUGGGAUUAGAUAGCAACAGUAGUUCUUAGUCUGGGUAAACAAUAAAGAAACUCUUUCUAAGCAGCCAUUAAUGUCUGGUUAUUAGGCUGAAGAGUAGCAAGUUUUGAUUUUCCAGCAUGAAAAUUCCCCUGGAAUUCCUCCAGAGUCCUCUAAUGAACAGAUGAUCUCAACUUUAAUCUUACUUCAUAAUUAUCCAUGGGUAACAUUUCAACAUGGACUCCUUAGCACAUGCAAUUUCUAGAGCAAGUAAUAUUCAAACUAAUUCAUUUCUCCUUUGAUGCACAAGAUGAGAGCACUGAGAAGCAACCAGCAACAAGGGGAUGUUGAGGGUACACUGAGGAGACAGAAACUACAAAGGUCAGAGUAAAUGUGAUGGUUUCAUCCCACACUGUCAAGAUCAAAGAUCUUCAGUCUCUGUUCAUUUUUUUAAGAAGCUGGCAUGUCUUUAUGCUGACCUUUGAAUUGCUCAUGAAGGACUUAGAUCUGCCAUAUAUCUGCAUUCUUGAGAUGAACUUGCACCAAAAAUUUAGAGCUUUUUUCCUAGCAACCUGAAUAUGACAACCUUUUUGAGACAGACUUGAGAGACACUUCCGUUUUCACCAAUAGUAGUCUGUAAGAAAAAAAAAAAGAAAAGAAAAAAAAAAAAACACCAAACCCAAACUUCAGGCUUCACAGAUUCUUUUCCACUCACUUGGAGUUGCCCUAUAGCUUAAUAAUUCUAGAGGUUUGUUUCAAAACUUCUAUUUUAACUUUGUGAUGUUUGGAGAGGGAAACCCUGAGGGAUUCUUGCUUCUGGCAACAAGUACUCAGAACACAGCAGAAGUCUCACUCUGAGGACAGAGGGAGUCUGCCCUGGGCACUGUGUUCCAAACCAGGACUAAGGUGUUCCAGCUGCAAACAAAAAUCUCUUUCAGAUCCAAAGGCAGAGAGCUUGAUCAUUGUGGAUCUUUGGCACAAAUACAGACAAUGGAAGUGAACCUUCAUAAUCUUUCUGAACUGACUUUUAAGGAGAUACCUGAGCUGUUGAAAGAUAAGAGUUCUUCCAUGUUCUUUCUAAUGCUGACAGUAAAGGUGGUUGUGAGGGGAGAGAAACCACUUCCCCUCUCCAACAAACUCAUGCUGUAAAUGAGCCAAAGGCAGCAGGGAGGGAUAGAGCCUGGACAGAGAGGGAGGAGAAUCUGCAAGAAAUCCAGAAAGAAGAGCCAGGGAACCACUGAAACAUUCCACUCUAGGAUAAAAAGGGAAAGAGGGCUGGCUGGAAAACGGGUCCAACAUAACUGGUAGAUGCAUCAGAGGCUUAAAUGCUUGGGGUUGAAGAUUCCAGACCAGACUUCAACUGGAAGGAAAAUGUUUAUGAUAAGAACAGGGAGAGGCAAGUUCCCACUUCCCCUGAUGACCCAUUGUUCCCCUCUCUGAUAGCUCUUGCCUCAGUUUCCAGAUGAUAUAUUGUUUUCCAAGCUACUUUGUCCAUUGUUCUGACAGCAGCCAGGUUUUGUUCAUGCUACUGAAACUUCCCAAUGCUCAGAAACAGUCAUGACAAAUUUUAAACAACUUGUACAGCUGGGAUUAUAAUACAAUUUAGGAAGUUAGAUGGUAAACAUUCUGUGCAUUCUGAAUACCUGCUCCUCUUCCUUCCCUUACUGAUAGUUCAGCUGCCUUUUUAUUGUUCAAAUGCAGUGAGCUGGAUUGGUAGAGGCUUUGAAAGUUCUGAGCCUUCCAAAUUACAUUCCCAAACUUCCCAUCAGCUAUGUCCAAAGUCAGCAUUUCAAAUGCAAAUCACUGUUUACAAGUUUCCUGUCCCUUCAGACUUCCCUCUCUCAAAAUCCCUGUCUGGAGCUUCCCAGUUUCUCUGUACUGACAUUUAUUAGCCUGAAUGCAGCUCAGUGUGCUUGUAAAGAGAUGGGAUUUAUGUGUGUCUCAAUACAUCAUUUACAAUGGCAGUCUCUACUUAAUUAAUUAUGAGCUGAAUGGUUAUGGCUAGCAUUAAAAAUCAUUCUCAACCAGAGCAAAAUCAAUAAAAGUUCAAUUGACUCUUACUACACUAUUUGUUCUACUACUUUACUUCCUUAAAAACACAAACCAGGGGGGAAAGUCCACAGCUUCCCUCCAUUACAAGGAGGUUAAAGUAAAUAAUAGAACAUUAUCUGCUCAGAAUAUAACACACUUAUGAGAAGCAACAGCCUCCAAGUACCAGCUUAGCUAACUGAUUAUUGCCAUUGUAGCCCUUACAAACUGUACCAACAAUACAGGCAAAAUUAGUGACUUGCAGCAAACAGACAAAGGUUUGGUACUUACUCAUGUAUUGAUUGAUCUGGCAGUUCACAAUUAAUUAACAAAUGCUAACUGUAGUACCAAAUCAUAAGAAACAGCAUUAUUCUUAAGCAUAAAUAUAAUUUUGUUCAAAGAGUAUCUUGACAUAACUUUACACUAUUAUCAUUUUAAGUUACCUCUUUGUAAAACCCUAGGAUUUUAUUAUUUACAGCAUAUCCUCUCAAUCACAGCCUCACAAAUAGUCCUGUAAUGAAAUAACCACAGAACUGUAUGUUAGACACAAAAGGGUCCACAUUGGAAAAAAGAAAUCACAAGACUAUUAUUAUACAGGCAAUACAGUUUUAUUCUGUUCUUUCACCAAUUGUAGCAAAAACAUUUAACAACUGAAUGAAUAAUCAAGGGAACUUAAUUGUCAACAGGAAUUUCAGAAUUAUGUUCUAAAUUUUAGACCAGGAAGAACUGACAGGGAGAAAACAAACCAUAUACACACUUGUAAUAAUAGUCUCUAUUAUGAAGAUUUAAUGCCUUCUUUAAAAGCACUGAGAUUAUUGAGGCACCUUACUGCAGGUUAUGGAUCAUCUCUUCUUUGGCAAUGAGAUGUGUGGUUUUGUUAACUAGGGCCAUGAGGGAGUUGAGCUUGUGAGACCAGUCAUUGAGUAUAUUGUUUGGGUCCUUAGGCCUCUGGAAAUUGAUAAUUCCUGCCAGCCUGUCUACUUUAGCAAAGAUGGUUUUAUUAACUACUAGGUUAGACAAGAACUCCUCCGAUUCCUGCAAAGACAAACAGCACUUAGUCAAGAAAACAGCAUUUUUACUACAAACCACCAGAAUUCCUCCCAAGCAGCAUGAAAGCACCAGGAACAAGACUUUCUUUAUACAGGACUACAUCUGUAACAACAUUGUACUUUAAAAAAUGCAGGACACUUUAAUAUUACACAUGCUGGCAAUGCAAGGUA